rnacentral:rRNA from 1 species
UAAAAGUCAUAACAAGGUUUCUGUAGGUGAACCUGCAGAAGGAUCAUUAGUGAAGAUUUGGGCAGGCCAUACGGACGCCAAAAAGUGUCCCUGGCCGCCUACACCCACUAUACAUCCACAAACCCGUGUGCACUGUCUUGGAGAAAGGCUUCAGAGAAGUUUUUUGUGGCCUCUCUUGGGGUCUUUCUUCGCUACAAACUCGAGUGGUUAGUAUGAACGUGGAACUUGGUUGGACCGUCACUGGCCAACAAACUAUACACAACUUUCGACAACGGAUCUCUUGGUUCUCCCAUCGAUGAAGAACGCAGCGAAACGCGAUAGGUAAUGUGAAUUGCAGAAUUCCGUGAAUCAUCGAAUCUUUGAACGCACCUUGCGCUCUAUGGCAAUCCGUAGAGCAUGCCUGUUUGAGUGCCAUGAAAUCUCCCACCCCAAGCGGUUUUUAAAUGAAACGGCUUGGCGGAUGGGGUCUGGAUGGGUGCCUCUGCCUGCGCUACCUAGCACAGGCUCGCCCGAAAUGCAUGAGCGCCUUGAGACACUUUGCAUCCGCCUCUCUGUUUGGGAGGAGGCGGCCAAGCAGUGUUUUUCUCCUGGCAUGGCAUGAUACGUCAUUUGCUAUGUCGCCUAAAGGAGGAAUGUUUGGUUGUGUCUGCGUGUGCUUCGAACUUGCCUCUGUGGCACAUCCCAAUUUCACUUCUGGUCUCAAAUCAGGUAGGAUCACCCGCUGAACUUAAGCAUAUCAAUA